rnacentral:rRNA from 1 species
GUGGGGAAUUUUGGACAAUGGGGGCAAGCCUGAUCCAGCCAUUCCGCGUGAGUGAAGAAGGCCUUCGGGUUGUAAAGCUCUUUCAGCAGGAAAGAAAUGGUGCAGGUUAAUAGAAGCAUGAUGACGUACUCUAGCGCGCCGCC